UGUUUUACCAAAAACUCGCCUCUGAAAUUAAACAUAAGAGGUCCUGCCUGCCCAGUGACCACGUGUUCAACGGCCGCGGUAUUUUAACCGUGCAAAGGUAGCGCAAUCACUUGUCCCUUAAAUGGGGACCUGUAUGAAUGGCACGACGAGGGCUUGACUGUCUCCUCUCUCCAGUCAAUGAAAUUGAUCUCCCCGUGCAGAAGCGGGGAUAUUAUCAUAAGACGAGAAGACCCUAUGAAGCUUUAGACACCAGACAGAUUAUGUUAAACAACCCUUCUAAAGGAAUAAACUUAGUAACCCCUGUCCAAAUGUCUUUGGUUGGGGCGACCGCGGGGAAAUAAAUAACCCCCAUGUGGACUGAGGGAAAUUUUACUCUCUUACAACCCAGAGCUACAGCUCUAAGUAACAAAAUUUUUGACCAAAAGGAUCCGGCAAUGCCGAUCAACGAACCGAGUUACUCUAGGGAUAACAGCGCAAUCCCCUUUUAGAGUCCCUAUCGACAAGGGGGUUUACGACCUCGAUGUUGGAUCAGGACAUCCUAAUGGUGCAGCCGCUAUUAAGGGUUCGUUUGUUCAACGAUUAAAGUCCUCAUCUGAGUUCAAAACGGG
rnacentral:rRNA from 1 species